GUCAGUGAACGUGAACAAAGCGCAUUUCAAUUAUUAAUUAACAUAAUGAUCGGCUAAUUAAAUAUCGUUUGUGUGUUUUACUUGUGCUGUGUGUAAUUGAAAGUGUAUUUAUUUAAUCAAUAUUCUUUGUUUUAAUUUUUUGCUAAGUAAAGUGUCGAAGUUGUGCAUGCAGUUAAAUGCAAGCAAGAUGCAAGAUGAAAAUGGAGGAAAGCCUGUUUCUAUUGUUAAAUAAUAUGCGCAGAAGCUUAAAUUAACUAAUGAGUUGCAAAUAAAUGCAAUUUACAAUAGUUCAGUGCAUUAUUUUAAUUUUUUUUCGAGUGAAAAUUUGCAAAAGUAAGGUUAAGGUGAAAAGUGAAAAUAUUUCGUCAAGCUCUCUCCCCAAUUCCCCUCUCUAUGCUGCUUGGUGCAGUAGCUCGCCCGUGUGUGUGUAUGUGUGAAGCGAAGCUAAUGCUAAGAAAGAAGUGCAAGUGUUUGUGUUUUUUUUUUUUUGCUGUGCCUAAAAGUGCGUGUGUGUCAGAAGCAAAAUAUGUAUAUGCACAUGUAAGCCACGAAAGAGAAGUGUUUGUGUUUUAUUUUUUUUGCAUGCUGCAGCUGAUAUCUUCUAGCACACGCAUAAGUGCGAGUCUAAACUGAUGAUUCUUAAAUGCAACUAAAACCUAAGCGAAACUUGACUUUAAAAUCAGGAAAUAUUAACUUAAGGAUACUCCCUAUUAAAAUUCGCAACCGUAUGUGAAGUAUUGUCAUUAUUCCUUUUUUGCUGUAUUGACUGUCAGAGACCCUUAAACACAUCACACACAUUUAAACAACUUUAUUUAUUGAGGAUGACUUGCGGAACGGCUCAACCAGUGUGCAAGUGCGUGAAGUGCGGCAUCCAUUCCAGAUUUUGAAAGAAUUUUGCCAUCCAUACCGUCCUCCAAGUCCUUCCUUUUAGUAGUUUAAUUUAGAAAUAUUAAAUAUUAAUAAAUAUAUACAAUUAUGCAUUAUGCAUUCAUAUUAUAUCAUAUUCCUUAGAAAAAA